rnacentral:snoRNA from 1 species
UAUUUCAGGACAUGGGAUCUGAAUGCUGGUCUUUGUGGUCAUACAAAGAGGGAAAGUGAUACUAAAGCCUCACAGCACUGCAGUCUGGCAUAGAGCAUGUCAGUUAGUUUCAAACAGGA